AUUCCAGCUCCAAUAGCGUAUAUUAAAGUUGUUGCAGUUAAAAAGCUCGUAGUUGGAUUUCUGUUCUUGGGGAGCGGUCCGCCGCAAGGUGAGCGCUGCAGCUCUGGGGACAUCCUCUCGAAGGCGGGUGGUGCACUUAAUUGUGUGCUGCUUGGAUUCGGGACCUUUACUUUGAAAAAAUUAGAGUGUUCAAAGCAGGCGUCGGCUUGAAUACAUUAGCAUGGAAUAAUGGAAUAGGACUUUGGUUCUAUUUUGUUGGUUUCUAGGACCGAAGUAAUGAUUAAUAGGGACAGUUGGGGGCAUUAGUAUUUAAUUGUCAGAGGUGAAAUUCUUGGAUUUAUGAAAGACUAACUACUGCGAAAGCAUUUGCCAAGGAUGUUUUCAUUA
rnacentral:rRNA from 1 species